AUACGUAGGGGGCGAGCGUUGUCCGGAAUGAUUGGGCGUAAAGGGCGCGUAGGCGGCCCAGUAAGUCUGGAGUGAAAGUCCUGUUUUUAAGAUGGGGAUUGCUUUGGAUACUGUCGGGCUUGAGUGCAGGAGAGGUAAGUGGAAUUCCCAGUGUAGCGGUGAAAUGCGUAGAGAUUGGGAGGAACACCAGUGGCGAAGGCGACUUACUGGACUGUAACUGACGCUGAGGCGCGAAAGUGUGGGGAGCAAACAGGAUUAGAUACCCUGGUAGUCCACACUGUAAACGAUGAAUGCUAGGUGUAGGGGGUAUCGACCCCUUCUGUGCCGCAGUCAACACAAUAAGCAUUCCGCCUGGGGAGUACGGCCGCAAGGUUGAAACUCAAAUGAAUUGACGGGG
rnacentral:rRNA from 1 species